UUUUUACGCAGUGACUGGGUACGAGCAGAGAGACGCCCUCUUCAGUUCACAAUCCGCCACGCUCCACCAGCUCUCAUCUGAAAACACGACAACAGGAAAGUGUGCAACUCUUCCAAAUAAAGGUCCAAGGGUCAAUGUUUCACCAAGCCCAGUUUUCAGGUCAACAAGGAACUUCCUGGUCGGCUCCGUUCCUUGUCUGAAUCCAUCAGGAACACGUUCAGGGAACCCGGCGUGUUCAACGCUCCGUUUAAAGCCAACUGGGUGACGGUCAGACGAAGACAUUCGCUGUCCUGGAGCUGCGAUUGGACGAGCUUGGAGACCUUUAAUUCUGCGCUUACCUGAGGCUGCAGUGAUGAACUGUGAGCACCCAGCGAAAGAAAAGCCUCAUAACCUGAUAAAGGUGAUUGAACAGUAAACGGAGCCAAGAUAAACGCCCUCAGUUCCUGAUCCGUGAGUUAAAUGGUAUUAAAGUCAAGUUUUCCCCUUACAGCAGGCGGUCAUGCUGGAAACAUAUUUUUUUUUGUCUUUGAAAGAUGGGAAAGUUGAAUGGCACACCGGUUCAUGUAAGCUCAAUCAAUAUUUGCAAACUGGGUCGCAGC